GAUGAACGCUGGCGGCGUGCCUAAUACAUGCAAGUCGAGCGAACGGACGAGAAGCUUGUUUCUCUGAUGUUAGCGGCGGACGGGUGAGUAACACGUGGAUAACCUACCUAUAAGACUGGGAUAACUUCGGGAAACCGGUGCUAAUACCGGAUAAUAUUUUGAACCGCAUGGUUCAAAAGUGAAAGAUGGUCUUGCUGUCACCAAUAGAUAGAUCCGCGCUGCAUUGGUUGGUUGGUAAGGUAACGGCCUACCAAGGCAACGAAGCUAAGCCGACCUGGGAGGGGGAUCGCCCACACGGGAACGGAGACACGGUCCAGACUCCUACGGGAGGCAGAAGUAGGGAAUCUUCCGCAAUGGGCGAAAGCCUGACGGAGCAAGGCCGCGUGAGUGAUGAAGGUCUUCGGUUCGUAAAACUCUGUUAUUGGGGAAGAACAUAUGUGUAAUUAACUGUGCACAUCUUGACGGUACCUAAUCAGAAAGCCACGGCUAACUACGUG
rnacentral:rRNA from 1 species